rnacentral:snoRNA from 1 species
AGCGACCUACUUCACAGGAUCAGUGCAUUAGGUUGUUAACUGCGUUACAGUCUGGAACUGUGCGAAUGCACCAAACCUCGAUGACGAGACGUAGCGAUCCCUUCUGAGCGCGAAGCCGUGCGGUUCAGCUUUACGGCUGCCGCCAUUGAUGAACGUUCCUCAUCUCCUUGACUACGCGUUGGUCGGAGAGAAGGAGGAAGGGAUCGCAGUCCGAGCGGU